rnacentral:rRNA from 1 species
AUACGGGGGGUGCAAGCGUUAAUCGGAAUUACUGGGCGUAAAGCGUGCGUAGGUGGUUUGUUAAGUUAGAUGUGAAAGCCCCGGGCUCAACCUGGGAACUGCAUUUGAAACUGGCAUACUAGAGUAUAGGAGAGGAAAGUGGAAUUUCAGGUGUAGCGGUGAAAUGCGUAGAUAUCUGAAGGAACAUCAAUGGCGAAGGCAGCUUUCUGGACUAAUACUGACACUGAGGUACGAAAGCGUGGGUAGCAAACAGGAUUAGAAACCCUAGUAGUCC